UGGGGAAUUUUGGACAAUGGGGGAAACCCUGAUCCAGCCAUCCCGCGUGUUCGAUGAAGGCCUUCGGGUUGUAAAGCACUUUUGGCAGGAAAGAAACGUCAUGGGUUAAUACCCCGUGAAACUGACGGUACCUGCAGAAUAAGCACCGGCUAACUACGUGCCAGCAGCCGCGGUAAUACGUAGGGUGCAAGCGUUAAUCGGAAUUACUGGGCGUAAAGCGUGCGCAGGCGGUUCGGAAAGAAAGAGGUGAAAUCCCAGAGCUCAACUUUGGAACUGCAUUUUUAACUACCGGGCUAGAGUGUGUCAGAGGGAGGUGGAAUUCCGCGUGUAGCAGUGAAAUGCGUAGAUAUGCGGAGGAACACCGAUGGCGAAGGCAGCCUCCUGGGAUAACACUGACGCUCAUGCACGAAAGCGUGGGGAGCAAACAGG
rnacentral:rRNA from 1 species